UACGUAGGUGGCAAGCGUUGUCCGGAUUUACUGGGCGUAAAGGGCUUGUAGGCGGUCCGCUAAGUCCGAUGUGAAAUCUCCCGGCUCAACCGGGAUAGGUCAUUGGAUACUGGCGGACUAGUGGGGGGUAGAGGAAGGCAGAAUUCCAGGUGUAGCGGUGAAAUGCGUAGAGAUCUGGAGGAAUACCGGUGGCGAAGGCGGCCUGCUGGACAUUAACUGACGCUGAGGAGCGAAAGCGUGGGGAGCAAAC
rnacentral:rRNA from 1 species